rnacentral:rRNA from 1 species
UACGUAGGGUGCGAGCGUUUGUCCGGAAUUACUGGGCGUAAAGAGUUCGUAGGCGGUUUGUCGCGUCGUUCGUGAAAACUUGGGGCUUAACUCCAAGCGUGCGGGCGAUACGGGCAGACUUGAGUACUACAGGGGAGACUGGAAUUCCUGGUGUAGCGGUGAAAUGCGCAGAUAUCAGGAGGAACACCGGUGGCGAAGGCGGGACUCUGGGCCGAUACUGACGCUGAGGAGCGAAAGCGUGGGGGAGCAAACAGG